AGAGUUUGAUCCUGGCUCAGAUUGAACGCUGGCGGCAUGCCUUACACAUGCAAGUCGAACGGUAACGCGGGGGCAACCCUGGCGACGAGUGGCGGACGGGUGAGUAAUACAUCGGAACAUAUCCAGUAGCGGGGGAUAACCUAUCGAAAGAUGGACUAUUACCGCAUACGAUCUACGGAUGAAAGCAGGGGACCGCAAGGCCUUGCACUAUUGGAGUGGCCGAUGUCGGAUUAGCUAGUUGGUGGGGUAAAAGCUUACCAAGGCGACGAUCCGUAGCUGGUCUGAGAGGACGAUCAGCCACACUGGAACUGAGACACGGUCCAGACUCCUACGGGAGGCAGCAGUGGGGAAUUUUGGACAAUGGGCGCAAGCCUGAUCCAGCCAUGCCGCGUGAGUGAAGAAGGCCUUCGGGUUGUAAAGCUCUUUCGGUGAAGACGAAACGGUUCAUGCUAAUAACGUGAACUAAUGACGGUACUCACAGAAGAAGCACCGGCUAACUACGUGCCAGCAGCCGCGGUAAUACGUAGGGUGCAGGCGUUAAUCGGAAUUAUUGGGCGUAAAGCGUGCGCAGGCGGUUUGCUAAGACAGGUGUGAAAUCCCCGGGCUUAACCUGGGAAUUGCGCUUGUAACUGGCAAGCUAGAGUGUGGCAGAGGGGGGUGGAAUUCCACGUGUAGCAGUGAAAUGCGUAGAUAUGUGGAGGAACACCGAUGGCGAAGGCAGCCCCCUGGGUUAACACUGACGCUCAUGCACGAAAGCGUGGGGAGCAAACAGGAUUAGAUACCCUGGUAGUCCACGCCCUAAACUAUGUCAACUGGUUGUCGGGGAAGAAAUUCCUUGGUAACGAAGCUAACGCGUGAAGUUGACCGCCUGGGGAGUACGGCCGCAAGGUUAAAACUCAAAGGAAUUGACGGGGACCCGCACAAGCGGUGGAUUAUGUGGAUUAAUUCGAUGCAACGCGAAAAACCUUACCUACCCUUGACAUGCUAGGAAGCCCGCAGAGAUGUGGGUGUGCCCGAAAGGGAACCUAGACACAGGUGCUGCAUGGCUGUCGUCAGCUCGUGUCGUGAGAUGUUGGGUUAAGUCCCGCAACGAGCGCAACCCUUGCCAUUAGUUGCUACAUUCAGUUGGGCACUCUAAUGGGACCGCCGGUGACAAACCGGAGGAAGGUGGGGAUGACGUCAAGUCCUCAUGGCCCUUAUGGGUAGGGCUUCACACGUAAUACAAUGGUCGGUACAGAGGGCUGCCAACCCGCAAGGGGGAGCUAAUCCCAGAAAGCCGAUCGUAGUCCGGAUUGUAGUCUGCAACUCGACUGCAUGAAGCCGGAAUCGCUAGUAAUCGCGGAUCAGCAUGUCGCGGUGAAUACGUUCCCGGGUCUUGUACACACCGCCCGUCACACAUGGGAGUGGGUUCCACCAGAAGUAGUUAGCCUAACCGCAAGGAGGGCGAUUACCACGGUGAGAUUCAUGACUGGGGUGAAGUCGUAACAAGGUA
rnacentral:rRNA from 1 species